UGGGGAAUAUUGCACAAUGGGCGCAAGCCUGAUGCAGCCAUGCCGCGUGUAUGAAGAAGGCCUUCGGGUUGUAAAGUACUUUCAGCGGGGAGGAAGGCGAUAAGGUUAAUAACCUCGUCGAUUGACGUUACCCGCAGAAGAAGCACCGGCUAACUCCGUGCCAGCAGCCGCGGUAAUACGGAGGGUGCAAGCGUUAAUCGGAAUUACUGGGCGUAAAGCGCACGCAGGCGGUCUGUCAAGUCGGAUGUGAAAUCCCCGGGCUCAACCUGGGAACUGCAUUCGAAACUGGCAGGCUAGAGUCUUGUAGAGGGGGGUAGAAUUCCAGGUGUAGCGGUGAAAUGCGUAGAGAUCUGGAGGAAUACCGGUGGCGAAGGCGGCCCCCUGGACAAAGACUGACGCUCAGGUGCGAAAGCGUGGGGAGCAAACA
rnacentral:rRNA from 1 species